rnacentral:lncRNA from 1 species
UCAGUUUCCUUUUCUUCUUCUCCUUCGUAGACGGUUAAUAAGUCUAUUAUGAGCUAGGCGGCUAGCGGUGGUUGCUGGGAGGAGGUGAUGGGCCGCGAGAUCAGUGAUUGAUUGUUGUCAGGGGAGCUUCGAUUGAUCAAGAGCUGCUGGUGUGGAGGGUCACGACUGGUACUGUUGAGGGCUCGUGGAGAAGAGACGAUAAUGAUUGAUGAUGGGUGGAGGAAAGGAAAGCAAUGGCUCAGCUGCUGCAAUUAUGGUGGUCUUUCACGGUCGUGUAUGUUGGUUGUUGCUGCUGCUCUACCGCCGUGGCGGGGAAGGAAAGAUGAGGGUCACGGGUUAAAGAUGGUGGCUGGAUGAAAUGGGUUUAAUGGAGGAUAUCGGGUUGAUGAAGGAGAUCUGUCAUGGUGACUGAGUUAUUGAGAAAAAUAAUCGGUGAAUGGUAGGUGUUGCCGAGGGUGGGCUGGGGAAUGGUUGCUACAAGGAGGAGCUGCUUUGGGAGACUCUGUUUUGCACGGAGAGGGAGAUGAGAGCUAUGAGUGGGAGGUGGUGUGUUUCUGUCUUUCUAUGACUGGAAAAGGAGGAGAAGGGCUGGUGAGCUGCGUGGCUGGGUUUUCUUAUGGUGAAAGUGGUGAAUCAGGAAGGAGACCACGGUGAGGAGAUUGGUAAUGGGUGGUUUUAUUGGUUGCUGAUAGCAAGCUUCCUUGUUUCCGGUCCCCGAGAAGGGAUUUUGAAUAUUUUGCUUUUUGAAAGAGCGGGAUCUCUUCUGCAAUGUCUAAGAGACAAACUUUUCUUUUGCUUUUUGAAAGAGUGUGGGUGGGUGCCUUUUGGAUCUGAC